UGUUUUAGGAAAUUUAUGGCUUACUUUAAGAGGCUUUGCAUUCACCAUUGAUUGAAAAGUUGUCUCAUCAAAGUGGCAAUCUAGAAAAUGUGCAAUGAAAAGAUACUCAUUAGGGAUUCAAGAUAUCUAAUAAUUGAAGAUGAGUUGAAGAAAGCAUAAAUUCCUAAAUGUCUUUAAGGUCCCAUCUUUGUGCGUUAAAAGGGUGAUAUAGGAACAUGCACAUCACAACCAAAAGUGCGUAGACGAGGAAUGUUAGGUUGUUGACCAAAUACAAGCAAUAAUGGAGAAUAUUAAUAAUAAGCAGUGGGUCUAACACGAACUAAUGCCACAACAUGUAAAAUAGCAUGACCCCCUGUAGAUAUUGGUGAUUUUGUACGCUAAAGUAAAGUUAUUGCAAUUAAUUGCAACUGUUUUAUCAAUGAUUAUAUCAAUCUAUUUUGUGUAUGUAUAUAUGGAAUUGAAUAUUCAACAUCAAUAUCAACUGAUACACAAUAGUCAUCAUAUGUCUUAAAUAUAAACUCGCAAUCAUUCUCUAGACGUAUGAUUUUGAUUGGAUACUCUAAAAUUUUUGCCUUUAAUCUUAUAAUUUAGGCAAGUAAUCUUACAAAUGCAAUGUUCAGUAUGCACAAUAAAUAGACAUGUGACCACUGUGUAGAUAUAUCAGUCAAAACCAUAAAAUAAUGAAAUAGUCCACUAGGUGGCUGGAUUAGUCUACAUAUAUCUUUUUGAACUCUGUGUAAAAACAACGGAGAUUAAUGACCAAUUUUAGAAAGGGAUAGUCUAAUCACAAAUUUUCCUUGUGAGCAAAUGGUACAAACAAUCCCAUUGGACAAUAAAAUCUUCUGGUGUUUAAUAGAUAUCUAUAAAAAUUUUCAAUAAUUUUACGCAUCAUUGUAGAUCUCGGAUGUUCAAGGCGAUCAUGUCACAAUAUAAAUAUUUUUAGACUUGUGAACUUCUAGUUCAUCAUAAUAUAGCUUUGAAUUGCAUUUAUGAUUGCGUAAUAUAAUCUUGAUGAGAAUGCUUUGAGCUUUUCUUAUAUGUAUUUCUUCCUUGAGACAAUUUUUAGUAAUGCACAGAUGUUCCACAUUAUUUUCAUUUAAUGUCAUAAUAUGAUAUCCAUUUUGGCAAAUAUCUUUAAAGCAUUUUGGAUUAUUAGUUUUGUUCCACUUGUUAAUAAGAGGGUAGCUCUUCUAGAGCCUUCUAAUAGGUCUACAAGACUAGAUAUAGCAUUUAAUUUUUUGUCGAGUAAUUUUAUUUCCAAGAAGUAUUUUUUCUCUUAAAGAAUGGUUUGUAUGAUUUCACUCUUAGCCAAGCAUACAUCCUUAACUUUUGAUUCCAAAAUAGAUAAUUUCUUUCUAAAAUCCGUAAUCCUAUAUUAAACAAAAGUUUAUGUUAGACAUCAAGAUUAGAUAUAAAAAAAAGAAUACAAAAGUUGAACAUAUUAGUAACUUAAUAAUUAUAACAUAAUAAUAAAAACUUAAUUAAUGUAGACAUUUUUAUCAUUAAUUAAAUGGUCGAUUUUACCACUUGUAUCUUCAAACAAGUCAGAGAUAUCAAGGUAAGUUAGGUCAACAAGAUCUGAGUUAAUGACUAAAUUAGUUUCAAUUUUUCUUUUUCGUUUCUUGAAUGCUUAAUAGAGGUCUACUAAUGUUUGUUUGUAUUGUAGAUAUGCAACUGAUGUCUUUUUCCUCUAUAUCAAUAACAAAUUUGUUCAUCAUCAUAUCUAACAUUUUCCCCUCCUGCAUCAUUUUCUUUACUAUGCCUCUCACAGAUGUUUCAUUUUUUGUGGCGACUAUUUCUGUUGUUCAGCUGUCCUGAAUGCUUAUGAAGACCACAAAGUUAAUUACCAUGACCUUUUUUGCCUCCUUGAUUACAUCCACUAUUUAUAUGUGUAUUUGCAUUCGCUUUUAUAUGUGUAUUUGCAUUUGCUUCGAAGAAUGGUUGAGAGCCAAUUAGACUUAUUUCAUGAUUUUUUUUAGAAGCCUAUUGUUUUGUUCAACAAUUAAAAGAAAUGUUAUCAACUCAAAGUAUUUACUAUAUUGACGCUCUUGGUGUUGUUGUAGGAUAACAUUUGAUGUAUGAAUAGUAAAAAUUGUCUUUUAAAACAUAUCUUGAUCAUUAAUUUUUUCACUACACAAUAUUAGUUCUGAAGUGAUGUGGAACAAAGCAGAAUUGUAGUUAUAGACUAUUGCAUAGUAUUGUAACCUCAGGUUUAGCCACUUGUGUCUAGCUUUUUGAAGGAAAAUAUCAUUUUGGUAGUCAAAUAUGUUCUUGAGGUUAUUCCACAAAAUUAAUGGAUCCUCUACCGUCAUAUGUUGAGAUUUUAGGCUCUAAAAUAAAUGACGGUGAAGGAAAAUCUUUGACUUUUGAUUUUUUUUUCCUAUGAAGAUGUUUCAUGUUCUUCCUUUAUAGUGCCUUUUAGGCGAAUAACUUCAGGUGUUUUUUUGCAUCUAACACUUAAGAAAGACAAUUUCUUCUAGAAACUUCAAGAGCAGGGAUUUGUAGAAUCCUGAAAUUCGUUAUUUU
rnacentral:lncRNA from 1 species